GCCGGGCGUGGUGGCGCAUGCCUGUAGUCCCAGCUACUUGGGAGGCUGAGGCAGGAGAAUCGCUUGAACCCAGGAGGCGGAGGUUGCAGUAAGCCGAGAUCGUGCCACUGCACUCCAGCCUGGGUGACAAAGUGAGACUCCGUCUCAA
rnacentral:SRP_RNA from 1 species